rnacentral:rRNA from 1 species
UACGAAGGGGGCUAGCGUUGUUCGGAAUUACUGGGCGUAAAGGGCGCGUAGGCGGCUGUGCAAGUCAGGUGUGAAAGCCCUGGGCUCAACCCAGGAUGUGCACUUGAUACUGCACGGCUAGAGUGUCGGAGAGGAUGGUGGAAUUCCCAGUGUAGAGGUGAAAUUCGUAGAUAUUCGCAAGAACACCAGUGGCGAAGGCGGCUCACUGGCCCGGUACUGACGCUGAGGCACGAAAGCGUGGGGAGCAAACAGG